rnacentral:rRNA from 1 species
UUCCUACGGGGCGCAGCAGUGAGGAAUAUUGGUCAAUGGACGAGAGUCUGAACCAGCCAAGUAGCGUGAAGGAUGACUGCCCUAUGGGUUGUAAACUUCUUUUAUAUGGGAAUAAAACGUUCCACGUGUGGGAUUUUGUAUGUACCAUAUGAAUAAGGAUCGGCUAACUCCGUGCCAGCAGCCGCGGUAAUACGGAGGAUCCGAGCGUUAUCCGGAUUUAUUGGGUUUAAAGGGUGCGUAGGCGGAAUGCCAAGUCAGCGGUAAAAUCGCGGGGCUCAACCUCGCUCCGCCGUUGAUACUGGCGU